UACGGAGGAUCCAGGCGUUAUCCGGAAUCAUUGGGUUUAAAGGGUGUGUAGGCGGGGUAAUAAGUCAGUGGUGAAAGUCUGCAGCUGAACUGUAGAAUUGCCAUUGAUACUGUUAACCUUGAGUAAUUAUGAAGUGGUUAGAAUAUGUAGUGUAGCGGUGAAAUGCAUAGAUAUUACAUAGAAUACCGAUUGCGAAGGCAGAUCACUAAUAAUUUACUGACCCUGAUGGACGAAAGCGUAGGUAGCGAACAGG
rnacentral:misc_RNA from 1 species